AUUUUACUUUGGAUUCAUCCGCUAGAUGCAAUAUCUCCAACUUCCUUGGACCAGAGUGGCGAGAUCCUCUUGUGAUUCACAGUGACCUUUACCCUUCUAAACUAGACAGUAAAGAAACGACAGGAAGAGGCAUGUUGGGAUAAUACCUGUACCUGCUCUGUAAGCUGUCUCACCUAACCAGUAACCAUGACAACAGUGGGCAGCGACCAGUUCCUACAGUUCACGUUAAUGAGUAAGAAUGUCCUGUCUCUGGAGGAACAGGAACUGUACGAACUCUCACAGCUGGCCGGGGUGGUGCUGGACCCCAGCGUCUUCAAGAUCAUCAUGGACCUCCUGAAGAUGAAUGUUGCCCCCCAGGCCAUUCUACAGGUCCUGAGGAGUAUAUCUGGUCAGCGACCAAAGAAAAUCAGCUCCCCCGAGGUCUCCCAGCGCCCCAACCCCGGGGAUGAAAGGCGGGGGAAGCCCCGCAGUCGUGUCCCCAGUAACAAGAAGCCAGAGGCCAGGCGGUGACCACAGGCCCACAGUGAUAACAAGUCUACAGAACAGACCUACAGUAAUACACGCCAGUGUAGAGAACGAGUGUACAUAACCUUGCUAAGGAAAGGAGGAUAACUCUUCUGGUUUGGAAGAAUCAUCACAACAUUUAGUUAUUGAUUUGACAGUGUGCAAGUGUCAGUGAAUGAUUGACAGGGAGAUUCAUAUAUAUCAUAUAUUCUUCAUUUAAUAGUUUUUGUUAUUUUAAAUGAUGAUGUUAUGUAAAGAUACCUGUACUUUUUACAUAUGUUGUAUCUGGGGUAUUUUUGCUGGCAGACUAAAUAUAAUGGCUGGCAUCAACAAUCAGUUUAUCAAAUGUCAAUCAUUUUGAAUUUAUGGAUAGAAAAGUCAGUUUAGAGUUGUUCAUGUGUUUGAAUUGGAAUGGUAUUUGUAUUCAUGAAGUUGUUAGUUGUGUAGUACAUGUAUAUAAAAACUACAAUUCAUUUAUUUAAACUCUGAAGCAAAUCAUUUGUAAUAAAAAUGUUUAUGACAAAUGUAAUGGAAGAAUUCAGUAAUGAAUGCUUGAAGGAUGUCUGAUUUGUAUGAUUGUUUGAGAAUAUUGAUAACAAUAAAUUAUUUUUGAAAUAAGGAUAAGUGCAAUCCUUCUUUAAAAUAGAGAUUUUUUAUCAAAGAAAAACAUGUACAACAGUUAAAUCUUGUGUCACACAUUCAUGGAACAUUAAAAUGAACUGCCUAUUAUAAAAUGAAAAAGUUUUAAAGGAAUGGUACCAAAUGGACAAGAGAGUGACUAGUCAAUAAGCACCAAGACCCUUCCACAAUACAUAUACUGGCCAAUAUUCCACAUUUCUUAAAAGUAAUUCUUUCUGCACACCAAUAAAUUCAUAUGGCUUCAUCUUGUAGGAGCUAAUCUGUUCCGCUAAUCUCAAUUUGUCCUUGAUAUUGUGUGCAGACCAAGGCAUGAGAAUGGCCCUGACCUCAAAGUGGGUGAAGAAAUCCCCAGCACACAUCAGCAGAGCCUUGGUAUCGUGCUGGAAGGCCUCCAGGUACAGCACCACCGGGGCCUGGGCCUCCAGUGUGCCCAGGGUGAUUAACUGAUUCAGAGAGAACCCCCCACCCUCGGGCUCACACACCACUUCCUGGUCAAUGUCCAACACGGGGUCCAGGGGUCGGGACGAGUUGGUUUGGAGGAUGGUAACAAAGCGCUGGGCAUUCACUGACCUAACUGAGGCACAGACCCCCGGGACACCGCGAGCACCUGUCCGUACACUGAUGGCCCGGCGUCCUAUCUUCGCCGCCAAAAUACUGAAGCUGCCAUCCCGCGAACCCACGUCUACCAUCACGGAGUUAGUGUGGAAGGCGAGGUUGUUGUGAACAGCUCUGAACAGCUCGUAGUACGUCUGCUUUGUGGGAUCCCCCUUUCCCUGGGUGUCUAGUGGUCCUUUGUGUACUACGUAUAGAGUUAAUUUUCCCGCAGACGAUUCCAGACUAGUCUGAAUCAUUGGUGGAUUCUGCCCGCAGACGUCACUUCUUUCCCAUUUUGAAUUCCGGCGGAUAAAAACUUUGACGUCGUUCUCCGAUGUUUGAUCUGUGAUCUCCUGCCGGCCGUCCAAGUCGUCGUAUUCAUCCACAUCCGGGUCUUUAUACCGGUCGUAAUCCAGCGCGUCGGAACGGGGCAGGUUGGGGACCAGUAUUUGUUCAGUCUUCGAUCGCCUAGGAAGCGGGAGGUCUAUAACGCACACCACGUAUGUAAGGAAAACCACACCGGCGGCAGACAACACACAAACCACCGUCCUACUCCUGGAACAGCGAAUUGGCAUCGCACCUCAAACUGCAAAAGGAAAAACAAUUUAAAUCUCUCUCUCUCUCUCUCUCUCUCUCUCUCUCGUCGUAUUUACCUGUUCACCUUUUAAUAAUGCAAAUUAAAAUGUGUAUACUUAGUGAAAUAGAUCAUCAGUGUGUAGCGAAAGUAACAUGGAUGACAUUUUACACGUUGAAUUUCAAAUGAUGGAACUUUAAAGGUGACGAAUUUAAAUGCUGUAAAUCGAUUCCAUUUACAAUGUAGUAUGUUUGUUGCUUGCUGAGUAUGAAACUAUUAAAUAAAGUUACAG
rnacentral:misc_RNA from 1 species